CUUCACAACUCGGAGACAAAUUGCAGGCGCUAUGAACCGGAGCAAGGCUGCCUGUAAGACGUAUUAUGAGACGGUACGCAGGAGCUUCAGAUAUACGCAGCCUGAGAACACGCUGCGCGCGGAAUCUGCCAAGCAUUCAGAAAAGAAAGAGACUGCUGGAAUCGAGGCAGAGUGUGCUAGCUGAUGAGGAAGUGGAACUCUGGAAU